CACGUAGGGGGCAAGCGUUGUCCGGAUUUAUUGGGCGUAAAGAGCUCGUAGGCGGCUCAGUAAGUCAGGUGUGAAACCUCCAGGCUCAACCUGGAGACGCCACCUGAUACUGCUGUGGCUAGAGUCCGGUGAGGGGAGCGGUGGAAUUCCUGGUGUAGCGGUGAAAGUGCGCAGAUAUCAGGAGGAACACCAGCGGCGAAGGCGGCGCUCUGGGCCGGAACUGACGCUGAGGAGCGAAAGCGUGGGUAGCAAACAGG
rnacentral:rRNA from 1 species